UGCCCUCCCCGGGAACGCGCACACGUGAACAGCACGUCUCCUGGGAAGCGGCCCUCACCGCGCACAGCCACACUUCCUUCGGUAACGUGCAUGAUGACAGAUGAGGAGGACAGAAGAGAAACGAAAGUGCUCUGUAAGCGGCAUGCUACUGGCCCUGUAUGUCGGGAGAACCCACACUAACACACCUAGAUGCAAAGUGAUGCUGCGAAGAAAAUGUUGGGGCACGGCACAGCUUCUAAACAAAUAAAACUCCCAGUUUUUUUCCACCAGCCAACAAACCUCUUAAAUUUCUCUUUUUUUCUUAACUUCUAAGGGUUAGAAAUGCCUGCUUAAAACCAACAUUAAGUAAGUAAAGCAAGCAACCCCUUCUGCAAUGGGACAAGGUGAGUGCAUUCAGGCUCUGGUCUGCAGUGGGGCCAAGUGAGUCCUUGAACUCCACCCAUCAGGAGCCCAGGGCCAGGGGGCACCCGCCUGCCUGCCCCUCCUCCUGGAGACCCUCUAAGGGGGCUCUGGGAUCCAAGGGCCCUGGGUCCCUGCCCACCUCUGUUGCUUUCUCUCUCUCAAAUUCACACUUCUUUCUGACCUCAGACGACAGAGGAAAUCUCUAGAGAACAUCCUCUCAGGUCUGUGGGGACUGCAGCUCCCACUGUGCACGUGCGUGCUCUGUUCUUCAUUGGAAAUGAGCCGCUGAGAGAACCAGGGAGUAAACCACACCAACUACAGAAUCAACCAGUGGGAACCACAGAGGAGCUGGCAGGAACCACAUGAUAAAUGAAUAAGGAUCACAGAGUAAAUGAUCAGGAACCAUGAAACGAACAGAUCACCACAGACCACAGAGAAAACCACCAGGAACCACAGAGAAAACCACCAGGAAACAAGGAACAAACCGCCAGGAACCAGGGAGGAAGCCACCACAGAGCAGAGUUAAACCAGGCUCUGCUCACACAGGUGAUACCAUCAGGAGGGCAGACGAAAAGUCCUUUAGUAAAGGAUGCGAGGCCCUUAUUUACCAGAUGCAAGUCCCUUAGUGACAGUGUACAAGGUCCUUCGUUACAGGAUGUGAGUUAAUUAUCGGUGGGUCCUUGUUCCUGCAUUUCCUGACCAGGCAGCCCAGGGAGUAGGAAGGAGUGUGUUCCGCUGCCAGUGACUGGACAGAACACUUGCAGAGUCCCUUUCCUCCUCCGCUGGGAGCAGAGCUGGGAGCAGCCAUCUGUCCUUUUCCUCCUGACGAGACACACACGGCAUCUCCUCGGAGUCUGAUUACUGCUGUGCAUGGAAUUGUGCUCCUACACGUGCUGCUGGUAAAAGCUGAUCAGGCCCUCGUGGUCAUCGAUACAGACCAGAGGAUGUGCCAAGACCACCCCCCAAAACAGAGGCCCUCUGCCCCCGAGGCCACAGGACGACAGUCGAGGGCACUCUGGCUGUCACGCUGGGGCUGCACCGGUGGCUGGUGGCUGCUCCGGCGAUGCUGCUCUAUGAACAGGCUUCGCCCCACACGCCUCCUCCCACAGCACCCCGAGGCCUCCAGAGCUGUGUGAGAGUGAAGCCUGCGUGGUAGCCGCUGUCGAGGGUAGGGAAUGGCUGGAGGUUGGAAACCUGCAGGUGCCACUCGGGGACUCUGGCACAUCCUGGGGGCCAGGCAGCUGGCCCACCCAGUCGCUCUGGCCAGGAAACUGCAGCCAACUUCCAGGGGACCCGGAUGGGGGUUAGGAAAGCUGAGGCCCCAAAGGGUCAGCUGGCUGGGUCUCCAGGGCCACAAGGAGCAAAGGACACCCAAAACGCACCCCUGGGGCCGUCGAACAUCCUGAGAGGGGCCUCGGGAUGCCCUCCAUGUCAUCCCACGCCCUUGCUGGUCCACACCAGCUUCACCACCCCCACCUAAUCAGGAGGGGGAGCCACAGACCCCGCACUCCUUCAGCCCAAGCCCCCUGCCCCUGGGUCCCACCUGGGCAGCACUUCCCAGGUGAGGGCUGCCUGUGACGUGAGCAGCCCCCAGG